AUUGAACGCUGGCGGCAGGCCUAACACAUGCAAGUCGAGCGGAUGAAGGGAGCUUGCUCCUGGAUUCAGCGGCGGACGGGUGAGUAAUGCCUAGGAAUCUGCCUGGUAGUGGGGGAUAACGUCCGGAAACGGGCGCUAAUACCGCAUACGUCCUGAGGGAGAAAGUGGGGGAUCUUCGGACCUCACGCUAUCAGAUGAGCCUAGGUCGGAUUAGCUAGUUGGUGGGGUAAAGGCCUACCAAGGCGACGAUCCGUAACUGGUCUGAGAGGAUGAUCAGUCACACUGGAACUGAGACACGGUCCAGACUCCUACGGGAGGCAGCAGUGGGGAAUAUUGGACAAUGGGCGCAAGCCUGAUCCAGCCAUGCCGCGUGUGUGAAGAAGGUCUUCGGAUUGUAAAGCACUUUAGGUUGGGAAGAAGGGCAGUAAGUUAAUACCUUGCUGUUUUGACGGUACCAAAAGAAUAAGCACCGGCUAACUUCGUG
rnacentral:rRNA from 1 species